rnacentral:rRNA from 1 species
GUAAGGAAUAUUGGUCAAUGGAGGCAACUCUGAACCAGCCAUGCCGCGUGAAGGAUGAAGGUCCUCUGGAUUGUAAACUUCUUUUAUGUGGGAAGAAACCGAUGGAUUAUUCUGUCGUUGACGGUACCAUAAGAAUCAGCACCGGCUAACUCCGUGCCAGCAGCCGCGGUAAUACGGAGGGUGCAAGCGUUAUCCGGAUUCACUGGGUUUAAAGGGUGCGUAGGUGGAUCUGUAAGUCAGUGGUGAAAUCUCUGGGCUUAACCCAGAAACUGCCAUUGAUACUAUAGAUCUUGAAUUUUCUGGAGGUUAGCGGAAUAUGUCAUGUAGCGGUGAAAUGCUCAGAUAUGACAUAGAACACCAAUUGCGAAGGCAGCUAACUACAGGAGUAUUGACACUGAGGCACGAAAGCGUGGGGAUCAAACAGGAUUAGAUACCCUGGUAGUCCACGCCCUAAACUAUGGAUACUCGACAUUUGUGAUACACAAUAAGUGUCUGAGCGAAAGCAUUAAGUAUCCCACCUGGGAAGUACGACCGCAAGGU